UUGGCUCUGGAUUUGAUUUACUAAUCAAAUCCAAUUUUGUGUGUGUCGGUCCUUCCACCUCAUGAACUUCAUCAAGUUUAAUUUUUAUAAGCAUUAGCUCCUUCACUAAGGAACUCCUUUUUUAAAAAGACUAUCCGACUGCUGACAAAUAUUUUUUGCUCUACAGCAAAAUAGAAGUAGUAUCCUUUAAUUUUCUUUAGGUACUUUAUGAACAAAUAUUUGUCGGACUUCGGUCCAAGCUUAUCUAUCUUUAAAUGCUUGACAUAAACUGGACACCCCC
rnacentral:lncRNA from 1 species